CUUCAACAUAUUAAAUAACUAUUUUUAUAAUUAAAUAUUAAAUUUUACUUUAUUUCAGUGGUACAGUACGUGAUUACUCACGUCCUGUAGAAUGUUCGCGACAUAGGAUAUAAUAUUGACGUGUCUCUAAAAAUUAUUUAGAAAGACUCAACAUGUAUGGCAAAUUAAUUAUUGUGUAAAGUAUAUGACAAAGAAAGCACCAAUAAAAAUAAUAAAAAAUCUCACUUAUUAUUUUAAAAGUUAUUUAUCAUUCUACAAUGUUCGUGAAAAAUAAUCACACCUGUAGAAAAAAAUUGCCGAAAUGCUAAAAUUUUUAUUUUUCUAGUUGGAAUAUUAGUUUAUAUCUCUAGCAACUCUAUGAUUUGCCUUGUUAUGACUAGUGUAGGCCAUAUUUCUGCAAGUGAUAGCAUUUCAGAGAAUCAUUAAGUUGUAUAGGCGUUCUACACCAGUGUCAAAGUUGAAGUCUCAUUUCUGUACUCAAUAAAAAAAAUUUUUUCAGGCAUAUCAGGCAAAACGCGAUUGGAGAAAGAAAAAGAGUAACGUUUAGGAAGAACAAA